UCCGGUUGAUCCCGCCGGAGGUUACUGCUAUCGAGGUUCGACUAAGCCAUGCGAGUCGAAUGUAGCAAUACAUGGCGUACUGCUCAGUAACACGUGGACAACCUACCCUCCGGACGGGGAUAAACCCGGGAAACUGGGUAUAAUACCCGAUAGAUCUCGACUGCUGGAAUGCAUCGAGAUCGAAAGCUCCGGCGCCAGAGGAUGGGUCUGCGGCCUAUCAGGUAGUAGUGGGUGUAGCGUACCUACUAGCCUACGGCGGGUACGGGUUGUGAGAGCAAGAGCCCGGAGAUGGAUUCUGAGACACGAAUCCAGGCCCUACGGGGUGCAGCAGGCGCGAAAACUUUACAAUGCCGGCAACGGCGAUAAGGGGACCUCGAGUGCCAGGUUACAAAUCUGGCUGUCGUGAUGCCUAAAAAGCAUUGCAUAGCAAGGGCCGGGCAAGACCGGUGCCAGCCGCCGCGGUAACACCGGCGGCUCGAGUGGUAACCGUUAUUAUUGGGUCUAAAGGGUCUGUAGCCGGCCGGAUAAGUCUCUUGGGAAAUCCAGCAGCUCAACUGUUGGGCUUUCAGGAGAUACUGUCUGGCUCGAGGCCGGGAGAGGUGAGAGGUACUUCAGGGGUAGGGGUGAAAUCUUGUAAUCCUUGAAGGACCACCAGUGGCGAAGGCGUCUCACCAGAACGGACCUGACGGCAAGGGAC
rnacentral:rRNA from 1 species